GUCGAACGCGCAGCAUUCUGUAGCAAUACAGGGUGUGGGCGCGUGGCGAACGGGUGCGUAACACGUGGAUAACCUUCCUUCAGGUGGGGAAUAACCCAGUGAAAAUUGGGCUAAUACCGCAUAACAUGACGAUGGCACAUGCUGUUGUCUUCAAAGGCGCAAGCCGCCAGAAGAGGGAUCCGCGGCCGAUUAGCUUGUUGGCGAGGUAAUGGCUCACCAAGGCAUUGAUCGGUAGCCGGACUGAGAGGUUGACCGGCCACACUGGAACUGAGACACGGUCCAGACUCCUACGGGAGGCAGCAGUGGGGAAUCUUGCACAAUGGACGAAAGUCUGAUGCAGCAACGCCGCGUGGGGGAUGAAGCUUCUCGGAGUGUAAACCCCUUUCGACCCGGAAGAAUGCCCGCAAGGGCUUGACGGUACGGGUAUAAGAAGCCCCGGCUAACUACGUGCCAGCAGCCGCGGUAAUACGUAGGGGGCCAGCGUUGCUCGGAAUUACUGGGCGUAAAGGGUCCGUAGGCGGUGCGGCAAGUCGAGAGUGAAAUCCCUAGGCUUAACCUAGGGGCUGCUAGCGAAACUGCCGUGCUAGAGUGUGAGAGAGGCGAGUGGAAUUACGGGUGUAGCGGUGAAAUGCGUAGAUAUCCGUAGGAACAUCCGAGGCGAAAGCGGCUCGCUGGAUCACAACUGACGCUGAGAGACGAAAGCUAGGGGAGCAAACAGGAUUAGAUACCCUGGUAGUCCUAGCCCUA
rnacentral:rRNA from 1 species